rnacentral:rRNA from 1 species
AUUGAACGCUGGCGGAAUGCUUUACACAUGCAAGUCGAACGGCAGCACGGGGGCAACCCUGGUGGCGAGUGGCGAACGGGUGAGUAAUACAUCGGAACGUGCCCAGUCGUGGGGGAUAACGUAGCGAAAGUUACGCUAAUACCGCAUACGAUCUAUGGAUGAAAGCGGGGGACCGUAAGGCCUCGCGCGAUUGGAGCGGCCGAUGUCAGAUUAGGUAGUUGGUGGGGUAAAGGCCCACCAAGCCGACGAUCUGUAGCUGGUCUGAGAGGACGACCAGCCACACUGGGACUGAGACACGGCCCAGACUCCUACGGGAGGCAGCAGUGGGGAAUUUUGGACAAUGGGCGCAAGCCUGAUCCAGCCAUUCCGCGUGCAGGACGAAGGCCUUCGGGUUGUAAACUGCUUUUGUACGGAACGAAAAGGUCCUGGUUAAUACCCGGGGCUCAUGACGGUACCGUAAGAAUAAGCACCGGCUAACUACGUGCCAGCAGCCGCGGUAAUACGUAGGGUGCAAGCGUUAAUCGGAAUUACUGGGCGUAAAGCGUGCGCAGGCGGUUAUGUAAGACAGAUGUGAAAUCCCCGGGCUCAACCUGGGAACUGCAUUUGUGACUGCAUAGCUAGAGUACGGUAGAGGGGGAUGGAAUUCCGCGUGUAGCAGUGAAAUGCGUAGAUAUGCGGAGGAACACCGAUGGCGAAGGCAAUCCCCUGGACCUGUAC